CAGUAGCCGCGGUAAUACGUAGGGUGCAAGCGUUAAUCGGAAUUACUGGGCGUAAAGCGUGCGCAGGCGGUUAUAUAAGACAGAUGUGAAAUCCCCGGGCUCAACCUGGGAACUGCAUUUGUGACUGUAUAGCUAGAGUACGGCAGAGGGGGAUGGAAUUCCGCGUGUAGCAGUGAAAUGCGUAGAUAUGCGGAGGAACACCGAUGGCGAAGGCAAUCCCCUGGGCCUGUACUGACGCUCAUGCACGAAAGCGUGGGGAGCAAACAGGAUUAGAUACCCCUGUAGUCCCUGUCUCUUAUAU
rnacentral:rRNA from 1 species